UACGAAGGGUGCAAGCGUUACUCGGAAUUACUGGGCGUAAAGCGUGCGUAGGUGGUUUGUUAAGUCUGCUGUGAAAGCCCCGGGCUCAACCUGGGAAUGGCAGUGGAUACUGGCAAGCUGGAGUGCGGUAGAGGGUAGUGGAAUUCCCGGUGUAGCGGUGAAAUGCGUAGAGAUCGGGAGGAACACCAGUGGCGAAGGCGGCUACCUGGACCAGCACUGACACUGAGGCACGAAAGCGUGGGGAGCAAACAGG
rnacentral:rRNA from 1 species